GACGAACGCUGGCGGCGUGCUUAACACAUGCAAGUCGAACGGAAAGGCCCUGCUUUUGUGGGGUGCUCGAGUGGCGACCGGGUGAGUAACACGUGAGUAACCUGCCCUUGACUUUGGGAUAACUUCAGGAAACUGGGGCUAAUACCGGAUAGGAGCUCCUGCUGCAUGGUGGGGGUUGGAAAGUUUCGGCGGUUGGGGUGGGACUGGCGGCGUAUCAGUUUGUUGGUGGGGUAGUGGCUUACCAAAGCUUUGAUGGGUAGCCGGCCUGAGAGGGUGACCGGCAACAAUGGGACUGAUAUACGGCCCAGACUCCUACGGGAGACAACAGUGAGGAAGAAUGCACAAUGGGCGGAAGCCAGAUGCAGCAACACCGCGUUCGGGAUGACGGCCUUCGGGUUGUAAACCGCGUUCGCCUGUGACGAAGCGUGAGUGACGGUAAUGGGUAAAGAAGCACCGGCUAACUACGUG
rnacentral:rRNA from 1 species